GAUGCCCCUUCCGAUGGCACUUCAAGUCCAUCAGAGGCGUCUUCAAAUCCAGACCCACCGUCUGAUGCUACGGACGCCACGACUGUUUCUCCGGACGAAGCGACAACUGCUGCUGUGAACACAGACAAAGUCGUG